GUUAAAGCAAACAACAAUCCCAUUAUUAAAGGUAAAGGGGCAUUUGUCUUGUGCCUUGCUUUUCUCUCUUUUUCUCUCUGAUUAUCAUUUUUUCUUCUCUUUCUUCCUCAGUGGAUUCUGGGGGUAUUAAGGAUUUGUUUGAUAUGUUCCCCUAGCAGCAGAGAUUUUCUCUGGGUUUGGGGAAAUUUUCUCAUUUGAAGCGCGAUCUGAUACUUUCUAUGGGGUUUUUUGGUUGAAUUUCUUCAACCCAUCGUCUGGGUAAUUUUCAAUUUGUUUAUCGAGUUUUCAGAUUUUGGAGAUGGAAGAAGAGAAGGAUUCUGAGAAUCGUUUGACAUCAGCUGCUGCUUUCGUGGAAGGGGGGAUUCAAGAAGCUUGUGAUGAUGCUUGUAGCAUAUGCCUUGAGGAUUUUUGUGAAAGUGAUCCUUCUACGGUUACUGCUUGCAAACAUGAGUUUCACCUCCAAUGCAUCCUUGAGUGGUGCCAGAGAAGCUCUCAAUGCCCUAUGUGCUGGCAGUCUAUCAGCCUCAAGGACCCCACCAGUCAAGAGCUGUUGGAGGCUGUUGAACGAGAGAGGAAUAUAAGGGCUACUCCAGUGAGAAAUACUGCUGUGUUUCAUCAUCCAGCUCUUGGGAAUUUUGAGUUGCAACAUCUACCUCUUGGUGUUAAUAAUUCCGAGCUUGAAGAGCGAAUAAUUCAACACCUGGCUGCAGCUGCUGCAAUGGGGAGGACACACCAUAUUGGUAGAAGAGAGGGAAGGAGUAGGUCAUCAUCUCAUGGACGUCCUCACUUCUUGGUUUUCUCCACUCAUCCUGGUGGACCUCCCGAGCAUGUCUCAGCCUCUGGAGUACACACUGAGCCAGCCGGUAUUACCGUUGCUAGCCCAUCUAGCCCACUAACACCUCGUGGGGAUGAACCAUCACAUCAUAUUGCACAGUUUCCUUCUAUUCAGACAGAUCAUGUUUCUCGUUCAGCAUCUGGAUCUAACUUUUCAGCCAGUCGACGAGGAGCUUCUUCUGGUGUUCGAAUCUCCACUAGUGAUUCUCCAUCUCCAAAUCUGGAUAGAGCUGGUCCAUCUGAAUUUCAGUCAUUCUCGGAAUCUCUAAAAUCAAGACUCAAUGCAGUGUCCACAAGGUACAAAGAAUCGAUUUCAAAGAGUACAAGAGGGUGGAAGGAGCGGCUAUUCUCUCGCAACACUUCCAUGUCAGAACUUGGUUCUGAAGUUCGAAGAGAAGUAAAUGCAGGAAUUGCCAGUGUAUCACGUAUGAUGCAACGCCUUGAAACUAGAGAGGAUGGAGUUACAAAUCAAGGUUCUAAUGAGCAGGGUGGCCACAAUAGAAGAGAGAGCAACCCAGAGAACUCUUUAAACGACAGCAGUGCUCCAACUUCUUGUGCUGCAACAUCUGCUGAGCGUUAAAUCAUUAAUAUUAAUUUUGGCAAAUGCAUCUGACAUCAGCAUCUUAUUUCUGAAGGUGAACUAUAUAAAUAUAUAUUCUCCAGACUUGAUAUGCUGAGGAACAGAUGCCCGUCAGCCUUUGCAAACAAAAAAGGGUUAAAGAAUUUCAUGUGUAGAGAGUAAUGUUGAUUGUUGUCUGAACUGAUAAAAAAAAAAAAAAAACCCAAUAAGGAAGAAAGAAGAAGGGGAGAGGGAAUUUGGGAGAAAAGCUUCCCAUCUGGACAUGUUGUAUGUAACUUUUUCUUUACAUAAAAAAAAAAAUACAGUAUUUGAUGCAAAAACACAUGUUAGAAAACUAUGUCUGGAUGGGUUAGUCUUUUGGAAUUUGAGUUUCUUUGCAAUGUUCAUAUAAAAAGUGUCAAAACGAACACUCAUUUCUUUGAUGAGUUUUAAUAUUCUUUACUAUUUUCUUCUUCUACCCAUUUUUGUUAUUGCUAUCAUUUGGUCAAAAAUUGGUAUCUUACCAUUUA